rnacentral:rRNA from 1 species
AAACAUCGCCUCCUGCAACACAACCGUGUAUAGGAGGUCCAGCCUGCCCAGUGACUACAAGUUCAACGGCCGCGGUAUUUUGACCGUGCAAAGGUAGCGCAAUCACUUGUCUUUUAAAUAGAGACCUGUAUGAAUGGUUAAACGAGGGCUCAACUGUCUCCCCUUUCCAGUCAGUGAAAUUGAUCUGCCCGUGCAGAAGCGGACAUAAAAAUACAAGACGAGAAGACCCUUUGGAGCUUAAGGUACAAAAUUCACCCACGUCAAACAACUCAAUAAAAAGCAAAAACCUUGUGGAACAUGAAACUCUACCUUCGGUUGGGGCGACCACGGAGAAAAACAAAUCCUCCAAGUGGAUUGGGAGAACCUCCUAAAACCAAGAGAGACAUCUCUAAGCCACAGAACAUCUGACCAAACAUGAUCCGGCUACCCAAAGCCGAUCAACGAACCAAGUUACCCUAGGGAUAACAGCGCAAUCCUCUCCCAGAGUCCAUAUCGACGAGGGGGUUUACGACCUCGAUGUUGGAUCAGGACAUCCUAAUGGUGCAGCCGCUAUUAAGGGUUCGUUUGUUCAACGAUUAAAGUCCUACGUGA